GUUGUUUCAGGCAGAUUACAAAGAUUCUUGAAAGCCAGCUGCACUGGCCUGCAGUUUGAAACUUCAGGCAUCUCUAUACCCUGAAAUCUACCUGAGCAGGAUGUCUAUCUGCAAUCAAGAAGAAAAAGAGGAGGAUCAGUCAGGUAGACACUGCUGUCCUUGCCCCCUAAGUCUACCAUUAUCACGGAUAAGAGGACUUCUUCCUCAAGAUCAUCUGGUAAACAGCCGCUUACGGUUUUUGCAUAAGUGAUCCAGGACAGACUGGUCCAAACAAUGCCAGGUGUCGACCAGAUUCUUUGGGAACAAAAUGGCAAAAGAACACAAAAGUUACAAGUGAUAGAACAACCUUCUGUUGCAAGCAUUCCAGAGAAAAUUUAAAUCAUUCUCCUCCUAAAUGA